rnacentral:rRNA from 1 species
UACGGGGGGGGCAAGCGUUGUUCGGAAUUACUGGGCGUAAAGGGCUCGUAGGCGGCCAACUAAGUCAGACGUGAAAUCCCUCGGCUUAACCGGGGAACUGCGUCUGAUACUGGAUGGCUUGAAUCCGGGAGAGGGAUGCGGAAUUCCAGGUGUAGCGGUGAAAUGCGUAGAUAUCUGGAGGAAUACCGGUGGCGAAGGCGGCAUCCUGGACCGACAUUGACGCUGAGGUGCGAAAGCUAGGGGAGCAAACGGG